rnacentral:lncRNA from 1 species
GCCGACCUAGGAUAAUGUUAUACAUAGAUGGAAUCUUGACUACAAAAUAGUUUACUUUGAUAACCACCUAUUCUGAAGCUCACCUAGCUAUCAUGAUCAAUGAAAUAGUCCCUUCUAUGGGGAUAGUAUUAUCUAAGAAUCCAAUCAGAGGUGUGUUUCUCUUUGCCAGUAGCUCAGAACUCAAGUUUAUAUGAAUAAAAAUAUUAUAAAAUAAAAUAUCA